rnacentral:rRNA from 1 species
AUUGAACGCUGGCGGCAUGCUUUACACAUGCAAGUCGAACGGUAACAGGCCGCAAGGUGCUGACGCGUGGCGGACGGGUGAGUAAUGCAUCGGAACGUGCCCAGUCGUGGGGGAUAACUACUCGAAAGAGUAGCUAAUACAGCAUACGAUCUAUGGAUGAGAGCGGGGGAGCGUAAGGCAUCGCGCGAUUGGAGCGGCCGAUGUCAGCUGAGGUUGUGGGUGGGGUAAAGGCUGACCAAGCCAACGAUCUGUAGCGGGUCUGAGAGGAGGACCGGCCACCUUGGAACUGAGCCAGGGCCCAUACUCCUACGGGACGCAGCAGUGUGCAAUGUGGGACAAUGGGCGCAAGCCUUAGCCAGCGAUGCCACGUGCAGUGAGAAGACCUUGGGGUUGUAAACUGCUUUUGUACGUAGUGAAACGGCUCUGGCUAAUACCCAGGGCUAAUGACGGUACCGUAAGAAUAAGCACCGGCUAACUACGUG